AAACUAACAAGGAUUCCCCUAGUAACUGCGAGUGAAGCGGGAUGAGCUCAAAUUUAAAAUCUGGCGUCUUCGGCGUCCGAGUUGUAAUUUAGAGAAGCGUUUUCCGUGCUGGACCGUGUACAAGUCUCCUGGAACGGAGCGUCAUAGAGGGUGAGAAUCCCGUCUUUGACACGGACCCCCAGUGCUCUGUGAUACGCUCUCGAAGAGUCGAGUUGUUUGGGAAUGCAGCUCAAAAUGGGUGGUGAACUCCAUCUAAAGCUAAAUAUUGGCGAGAGACCGAUAGCGAACAAGUACCGUGAGGGAAAGAUGAAAAGCACUUUGGAAAGAGAGUGAAACAGUACGUGAAAUUGUUGAAAGGGAAACGCUUGAAGUCAGUCGCGUCCGCCGGGAUUCAGCCGCAAGGUGUACUUUCCGGUGGACGGGCCAGCAUCACUUUUGAUCAUCGGAAAAGGGCGAGAGGAAUGUGGCACCUCCGGGUGUGUUAUAGCCUCUUGUCGUAUACGGUGACCGGGAGUGAGGACCGCCUUUGUAGGAUGCUGGCGUAAUGGCUUUAAACGAC
rnacentral:rRNA from 1 species